GACAAACGAUAAUGACUGCAUUCCAAAAGACUGUGAUCAUUGGCAGUGGAAUACUUUGGAACCAGAGGAUUUGGUCAGGUUCAAUGUAAAAUGUCCCAGGAAGUUAAACAACGUACUGCUUGAUAAGGGCAGGAGUGUUACACCAGUUACACACACACGAGAUGGGUGCUGUCAGGCAGUAGUGUGGGGGAAGAAAAAAGAAAAAAAAAGAAAAAGAAGAACAAGAAAAAAAAGGAGUGUCACUGC